UAGAUAGAUACUUUAUUGAUCCUGAAGGAAAUUCAAGAUGUUACCUUCCAGCAACUUUCAAGGAAGUCCAAAGAUAUGAACUCCAUCACUUCUCUGACGCAAGUGUUAUAGGGUAUGGAGGAUGUACGUAUCUGAGAGCUAUCAGUGUUUCAGGACAAAUUCAUUGCUCUUUGGUCAUGGGCAAGGCCAGCGUGGCCCCCACGAAAGUCACAACAGUACCCAGGCUGGAACUGUCGGCAGACGAGAAGAUUUCAUGUAUUUUUGGCGAACCGCAUUCAGCGCAUCAGAGAGAGUACCAAUCCAAGCCAAUGGAGACGUGAUCACAGAAGACAAUCCUGCUGAUCACGCAUCAAGGGGCCUAAUGAGAGUUAUUGUAAGUCUUGAUGGCUGAUGGCUGGAAUGACUUCCUGAAUCUGUCCUUGUGACAGCGGAGCUGUCUGAAUCUCUUGGAGAAUGUGCUCUCCUGGGCCUGGAGGAUGUGGUGGAGAGGAUGAUCGGCAUUAUCCAUGAUGGAAAAAAGUUUAUUUAGCAUCCUCCUUUCCACCACCGUUUCCAUGGUGUCCUGUUUGCAGCUGAUGAUGGGAGUUCUCAUCAGGGAGUUCUCAUCACUGAGAACUUACCUUUAUGAAGUCAUGGCAAUCAUAAACAGCAGACCUUUAACGGCACACUGUCUCAACGACCCAGCUGGGCCGCAGCCUCUUACUCCCAACCACAUCCUGACGAUGAAAUCCUCAGUAAUCUCGCCACCACCUGGAGACUUUGUAAGGGAGGACCUUUAUCUUUGCAAAAGAUGGCGUAGAGUACAAUAUUUGACCAAUGUUUUCUGGUCCAGAUGGAGAAAAGAAUACUUGUUAAGCCAGCAACAGAGGCAAACAACACACAGGAAUGCAAAGGUCAAUGAUGUAGUGAUUGUUCAAGACGACAAUGCACCACGAAACACAUGGAAACUGGCCAAGGUCACUGAAGUUUGGAGAAGGAUGUGUGAGAAAGCUUCAGUUGCUGAUGAGCGAUUCAGCACUGGAUGACCAAGGCAAGCGACUCACCAAACCAGUCUACCUAGAGAGACCUAUUCACAAGACAGUUACUUUGCUGGAAGCUGAUUAAUGCUGCCAUAACACAGUAAUACAUCUUUCAUUGCACCUAGUGGCAAAUAUUCAUAUUUCAAUCCUACAUUCAAGUUAAUUAAAGAAAUCACCAGUGAUUUGGUGGGAGUGUAGCUGGCAUCAUAGCCAGCCAUACAGUUCAUCAGGCUUUCAUGUAAUUAAUAGGUUUUUCAUUUAGUAACCUCAUUUAAAUAUAAGAAUAGUGUACGUUUAUUAAAAGGGUUUAAUUUGUGUACAUAAAUAAGGAAGAUCACAAAGAAGGUUUAGAAGGCUGUUCAGAAGUUUAUUUAUUUAUAUUGUUUAGCGGAACCAAUGGGGGCGGGGCUUUGUGGUGCUGGCACACUGCUGCAACAUGAGACAGAUUGCCUCGCUGGAGACAGAGAAACAGGAGGAUAAGUUUUGUGUUGCUGUAAAGACAUGGACAAAGUGAAGACCCGUUCAGGUCCUUUCUAAUUCCUCUCAAGGUACACGGCCAAUGAGGGGUCUCAAACUCAAUUUGCCUUGGAGUCUGGGUGAGGCUGGGCCGCAUCAAACUUGAAAAUGGUGGGUGAUCGGCCGCUCCUCCAGCUAUUUCUUCUGAAUAUUUCUUCUGUUCCAAUGUCAACUCCAAUGUCGCGAGUUUGAAUACAACCUCCCCAAGUGAACGCUUUAGAAAGCGCCAAUGUGAUUUCGUUCAUGAUGCAACAAUGUGUGUGUGUGUGUGUGUGCGUGCGUGCAAGCAAUA